AUUGAACGCUGGCGGCAGGCCUAACACAUGCAAGUCGAACGGUAACAGAAAGCAGCUUGCUGCUUUGCUGACGAGUGGCGGACGGGUGUGUAAUGUCUGGGAAACUGCCUGAUGGAGGGGGAUAACUACUGGAAACGGUAGCUAAUACCGCAUAACGUCGCAAGACCAAAGAGGGGGACCUUCGGGCCUCUUGCCAUCGGAUGUGCCCAGAUGGGAUUUGCUAGUAGGUGGGGUAAAGGCUCACCUAGGCGACGAUCCCUAGCUGGUCUGAGAGGAUGACCAGCCACACUGGAACUGAGACACGGUCCAGACCCCUACGGGAGGCAGCAGUGGGGAAUAUUGCACAAUGGGCGCAAGCCUGAUGCAGCCAUGCCGCGUGUAUGAAGAAGGCCUUCGGGUUGUAAAGUACUUUCAGCGGGGAGGAAGGGAGUAAAGUUAAUACCUUUGCUAAUUGACGUUACCCGCAGAAGAAGCACCGGCUAACUCCGUG
rnacentral:rRNA from 1 species